rnacentral:rRNA from 1 species
AUUGAACGCUGGCGGCAGGCCUAACACAUGCAAGUCGAGCGAGCGGCGGACGGGGGAGUAAUGUAUGGGGACUGCCCGAUAGAGGGGGAUAACUACUGGAAACGGUGGCUAAUACCGCAUACUGUCGUGUUCCCCAUAUGGGAUUAGCUAGUGGGUAAGGUAAUGGCUUACCUAGGCGACGAUCCCCAGCUUGUCUGAGAGGAUGAUCAGCCACACUGGGACUGAGACACGGCCCAGACUCCUACGGAGGCAGCAGUGGGGAAUAUUGCACAAUGGGCGCAAGCCUGAUGCAGCCAUGCCGCGUGUAUGAAGAAGGCCCUAGGGUUGUAAAGUACUUUCAGUCGGGAGGCGUUACCGACAGAAGAAGCACCGGCUAACUCCGUGCCAGCAGCCGCAGUAAUAC